CCCCAGCGAAGGGAAACAAAACAAAACGCCGGCACCGCCGCGCUCUCCCUCCUUCUCCUCCUGGCAUUUGGUGGUGGUUUUUUUUUCUUGGGGACUCUCCUUUCUCCUGCCAGACUGACUUGCACCUUCUCGAUUAUUUCUCUUCCCCUCGUUUUUUUAUACUCUUCUCCCUGCUUCCAAACCCUGUGUCUGUGUGUUUUAAUACUAUCACAACCUCUGCUAAAAAUAGAUCUUUUUAUAUACCCUUCCUCCUCUCUGAUCCCAUCCAACACCCCUUGUUAAGUGUGAACCAAAGAAGAAGGCUAGCAUCGGAUAAUAGUCAUUGUGAAGGCUUCAGAAU
rnacentral:lncRNA from 1 species